rnacentral:rRNA from 1 species
AGCGAACGCUGGCGGCAGGCCUAACACAUGCAAGUCGAACGAACCUUUCGGGGUUAGUGGCGGACGGGUGAGUAACACGUGGGAACGUGCCUUUAGGUUCGGAAUAACUCAGGGAAACUUGUGCUAAUACCGAAUGUGCCCUUCGGGGGAAAGAUUAAUCGCCUUUAGAGCGGCCCGCGUCUGAUUAGCUAGUUGGUUGAGGUAAUGGCUCACCAAGGCGACGAUCAGUAGCUGGUCUGAGAGGAUGAUCAGCCACAUUGGGACUGAGACACGGCCCAAACUCCUGCGGGAGGCAGCAGUGGGGAAUCUUGCGCAAUGGGCGAAAGCCUGACGCAGCCAUGCCGCGUGAAUGAUGAAGGUCUUAGGAUUGUAAAAUUCUUUCACCGGGGACGAUAAUGACGGUACCCGGAGAAGAAGCCCCGGCUAACUUCGUG